AAUCCGUGAUGUGGGCAGCAUCUCAAAAGAUCUUUAAACCUCUCCCAUGCAUCGUACAUGCUUUCAUCAUCAAAUUACAUAAAAGAAGAUAUGUAAAUUUCUAAGUUU
rfam:Ricinus communis cultivar Hale ctg_1100012362954, whole genome shotgun sequence.